rnacentral:rRNA from 1 species
GACGAACGCUGGCGGCGUGCUUAACACAUGCAAGUCGAACGGAAAGGCCCUGCUUUUGUGGGGUGCUCGAGUGGCGAACGGGUGAGUAACACGUGAGUAACCUGCCCUUGACUUUGGGAUAACUUCAGGAAACUGGGGCUAAUACCGGAUAGGAGCUCCUGCGGCAUGGUGGGGGUUGGAAAGUUUCGGCGGUUGGGGCUGGACCCGCGGCUUAUCAGCUUGUUGGUGGGGUAGUGGCUUACCAAGGCUUUGACGGGUAGCCGGCCUGAGAGGGUGGCCGGCCACAUUGGGCCUGAGAUACGGCCCAGACUCCUACGGGAGGCAGCGGUGGGGAAUAUUGCACAAUGGGCGGAAGCCUGAUGCAGAGACGCCGCGUGCGGGAUGACGGCUUUCGGGUUAUAAAACGCUUUCGCCUGUGACGAAGCGUGAGUGACGGUAAUGGGUAAAGAAGCACCGGCUAACUACGUG